UACGAAGGGGGCUAGCGUUGUUCGGAAUCACUGGGCGUAAAGCGCUCGUAGGCGGAUCUUUAAGUCAGGGGUGAAAUCCCGAGGCUCAACCUCGGAACUGCCUUUGAUACUGGGGAUCUCGAGUCCGGGAGAGGUGAGUGGAACUGCGAGUGUAGAGGUGAAAUUCGUAGAUAUUCGCAAGAACACCAGUGGCGAAGGCGGCUCACUGGCCCGGUACUGACGCUGGGGAGCGAAAGCGUGGGGAGCAAACAGG
rnacentral:rRNA from 1 species